rnacentral:rRNA from 1 species
GCAAGUCGAGCGCACUCUUCGGAGUGAGCGGCGGACGGGUUAGUAACGCGUGGGAACAUACCCUUUUCUACGGAAUAGCCUCGGGAAACUGAGAGUAAUACCGUAUACGCCCUUCGGGGGAAAGAUUUAUCGGAUUUGGAUCGGCCCGCGUAAGAUUAGAUAGUUGGUGUGGUAAUGGCCUACCAAGUCUACGAUCUUUAGCUGGUUUGAGAGGAUGAUC